CCCAUUUUCAAGCAGAACCAAGAGGAGGCUUGCCUCUCCUGCACUGCUUAUAGCCAGCACCAUGAUUAUUGUGCUCCUUCUAUAUGAGCUUUAGUCCGAGCAACUGGGGCUCUUUUCCAGAACAUAGCUUUGACGCAUAGCUCAGCUCCACACCUUGUCGAUGUGAUGCGCUUAAGCUACCCCUUGAUGGAUUGCUGUUAGUAAUUAUGUUAAUCUUGGCAUGUAAAGGUCAUCAUUCUAGUGCUGCAGUGGUAAUUUUAUCAAUGGCUGUCAUCCGUAAUGCAGUACUUGGCAGUGGAAUUUAAAGCCAUGCAGCAAAUUCAUAUGGGGUAUUUUAUACUUGCACUGGAAAUAUGACAAAUUACUUGAGGGUUGAACUGUCAGCUUAGUUGCAACCAAGCUUCAGAGCUUUUGAAGUGCUUUAAGAGGAUGUGUUUUGAUGUUUAAUGAGCCCACAGCAUAUAAAAACACUAAGUGAUUGUUUUAGAGGCUCUUAACGUACAUCAAUUUAAAACAUGCUUUAUAACUUUGCAAUGCAGACAGUGACUUUGAAGCCAUGUUUAUAUGAAAGAAAUCAAUGCGCAGUCAUGGUUUGUUUUUGUUUUUUUGACUCUUGCAUUGUAUAUUUCUGCAAACUCUCUAUUGAGCCUUUUUAUUUUUUUAAUUUUUAAUUUUUUAAUUAUUUAAACCAUUCACGUCUUGAUUUACUUUUACUCUCUAUGUCUUUGUAUUGUUCAUCACCCAACCUCCCCUCAGCUUCAUUUCUUUUAAAGUGAGUUACAGGUGUUUGGUUUUUAACCACGAGUAAGAGAGAAAGCCAAAUUUGUAACUACCAAAACUUUUUAGCUCUUGAUUCUUUGUCAUCUCCUUAGAGAAGACUUAUUAAAAAUUUCCAGCCAGGUUGUAAGCGGUUACUUGACGUGCUGACAUUAAAAAGCUUGGGUGUUGUUAGUGUCGCUAUUUUUAUCUUUAAUUGUGACUGAGAUGAAAAUCAGGCUACACUGUAAGAGUCAAAUGCUGGUAAUUCCAAAGUGUUAAGACUCCAUUUAUGUUAGCUGUAAUUGUGUUGUCUUUGUAUUUACCCCUUAGCCAAAGUUCACUCUACAGACUCACAAUUAUUUAGGCCACUUUGCUCUGGCGGAGCCUUUUUCUUUGUCUAUAGUGGAGCAUAUGGUAGAUAUUACGGGAUUUGAAAGUGUGCAGGAAAUGAAAAGAAUUCCCUUUUUUUUUUUUUUUUUGUAGUUUCUGUAAGGUAAAUACUCACUGUUCCCUCAACCAAGUGAAAUAGAGUCACAUCGUGGUUGACCCCUGAGCCUCAGACUCAGCUGUAGCCAGCACAUUCCAGAUGGAGCUACAGCCAGCACAAAGCAGAGCAGGCUUCAGGGCGCGCUGGUGUAGGAAAACGGACUGCGUGUUCAUGUUCAUGUAAGCCGCCUCCCUGAUAAGACUAAGGCUACAAAUAACCACCGGCCCAAACCGCAAACUCCACAGCGAAGCAAACGGCUAUCUUUUGUUUAAUUGUACAUUGUGAGAGCAUAGCUGUUGACAGAUGAGGUGUGGCUCGGUAACUGCUGGAGGACCGUCACCUCGGGUUAGAGCAGCAGCCACAGAAGCAGAUUAUCAGAUUCGGCUCAGCUCGGAAAAUGUCUCUACUGCCACUUGUAUUCCAGCCGUUUUCCGUCUUGUGUCUGUGGAAAGCCGUUCAAUUUUAGGAUGCUGUGGAAGUAUAAAAGUCUGAUUCUGGUAUGAAGCAACUUCCUCUUUGAAAAGCUUCCCAUCUAGUCCACUUGAUCCAGAAGGGAAACAGGUGAAAGGAUUUUUACUUGAGUUUUAUAUAGAUCAAAAUGCAGACAGAGCAUAAAGAGACUUCUUUUGAAGCUGCACUUAUGCCAGGGGUUAGAUUCCUGCAGAUACUUUGGUGGGCGCUUUCUGGUCUUUUUUUCCCCCCCCUUUCCAAUAGCUUCUUUAC
ensembl:lncRNA